rnacentral:rRNA from 1 species
UGCCAGUAGCCGCGGUAAUACGGAGGGUGUAAGCGUUGUUCGGAAUUAUUGGGCGUAAAGAGCAUGUAGGCGGACUAUUAAGUCUGGCGUGAAAGCCCGGGGCUCAACCCCGGAAGUGCGUUGGAUACUGGUAGUCUUGAGUAUGGGAGAGGAAAGUGGAAUUCCGAGUGUAGGGGUGAAAUCCGUAGAUAUUCGGAGGAACACCAGUGGCGAAGGCGGCUUUCUGGACCAAUACUGACGCUGAGAUGCGAAAGCGUGGGGAGCGAGCAGGAUUAGAUA